CAGAGGUGGAGACAAAUAGAAACCACACCCCCGAGGAAGCGGCAUCUGUUAGGUACGCCCCCAGAAAGGCGGGGACAGAUACAGCUACGCCCAUGGGGCGGUCUCAGCCUCAAAGCCCGCCCUAGAUGCACGGAUUCUGUCUUAGAGCCCAAUCGCGUUGCAGUGGGCGGGAACUCCAGUGCUUCCGCCCAAGAUCAGUGGAUGCUGCUCGCCCCUCCCACCCCAGAGGUUCCGCCAAUUCCCGGAACGUCCCAUCUCUUCCGGCCAGCCGGCCUCGGAGUGGUGGUGGUAGCUUCCGCCACCGCUGGGCGCGGCCCCAGUUCUCCGAGGCCAGCGGGGCUCAGCGAGGGUUGGGGCGGUCACAGCCCAGGGCGGAGCUCUACGGGCAGCGGGUAGGGUCGUUUUGACACGUCUCCUGCCCCAUGGAGGUAGCUCCGAAGGCCGGUGGACCUCGGGGACCUAGACUGGAGGACUCAGCUUACAACCAAGGAGUCAACUUCUAAACAGGAUAUUUUUGGAGAAAAGACAUUGGAGGGCAUAAAAAUGGGGACACGGGUUUGAGCCCUGGUCUGGGAGGAUCCCACAUGCUGCGGAGC